rnacentral:rRNA from 1 species
UCCGAAGGGGCCGGACGGUCAAUUGCUCCCGGCCGCCAUGCAGAGAUGGCGGGCCCCCGCGCCCCCGUCCCCAACCCUUUGCUGACCAAAACCUUUUUGCCUCGGGGGCAGAGCGUCCGCCGCCGCCCCCGGAGGACCGCCGAACGCUGUCUCUGUACGUCGGAGGAUUGAUUGAAUGAAUGAAAACUUUCAACAACGGAUCUCUUGGUUCUGGCAUCGAUGAAGAACGCAGCGAAAUGCGAUAAGUAAUGUGAAUUGCAGAAUUCAGUGAAUCAUCGAAUCUUUGAACGCACAUUGCGCCCUUUGGCAUUCCGAAGGGCAUGCCCGUUCGAGCGUCAUUAAAUCCAAUCAAGCCUGGCUUGGUAUUGGGCGUCGGGGGUCUCCCGCGCCUCAAUUUCACCGGCUGGCCGUCGUCUGUCGUAGCGUUGUGAUAUACCUCUCGCUACCGAUGGGACCGGAUCAUGCCGUUAGAAUCUCGCAAAUUUCAAUCGAAAUUUGAUUAAGGUUGAC